UAUUAAAAAUUUCAUAUAUUUUUAUUAUUAAAAAAUGACGUGACAGAUAGAAUAAUUAGAUAAUUUCAUGUGGAGUGCCACGCAUUACUCAUUUUGACAUAAAGGGACUAAUUUUUAAUGUAGAAAUUAAUGAAAUUUUUAACA
rfam:Gossypium hirsutum cultivar TM-1 chromosome 2, whole genome shotgun sequence